rnacentral:rRNA from 1 species
UACGUAGGGGGCAAGCGUUGUCCGGAUUUAUUGGGCGUAAAGGGCUCGUAGGCGGCGUGUCGCUGUCGGGAGUGAAAGAACCCGGGGCUUAACCCCGGUUCUGCUUCCGGUACGGGCAUGCUGGAGUGUGGCAGGGGAGACUGGAAUUCCCGGGUGUAGCGGUGAAAUGCGCAGAGUAUCGGGAAGAACACCCGUGGCGAAGGCGGCUCUCUGGGACGGUAC